AGAAAUAGUUUUAACCGCUUAAGUUAUGUAAUGCGUAAGUUCGGUGUAUUUCGUGCCAACACAGUAGCGAGCGUUGCGAGGGUUGAAACACGCGGAGAAUCGCGCGUUGCUGGCGUUGCGGUGAACGUUCGUUGUUUACAACAAGCGAACAGCUUGUUUUGAUCACGUGACACCUGUGCGCGCUUGGCACAUCGCUCUCUUCCGUUGCCUCCGCUCGCUCCCUCGCAAAGAUGGCAGAUUCGGACGGCGACGGGUUUGAAGAUGCGACUCAGGUUCAAAUCAACCACACGGACCACGACGGCUUCGCCGACCUUCAAGUCGACUUUGCCGAAGAAAUCUCCGUGCCUCUGCAGACCAAGUGGACCUUUUGGGUCGACAAGACGGAGAGUCGGGGCAUCUCUGCUGCUCAGUACGAAGCCAACCUGAAGAAAAUAUACACGGUGAAUACAGUUCAGGGUUUUUGGGCAGUGUUCAACAACAUCCCAGACGUAGCGGAACUGAAGCUGCGGUACACGUACCACUUGAUGCGCGGCGACCGGCGCCCUCUCUGGGAGGAUGCCGGUAACCGGAGGGGCGGUACCUGGAGGGUCAAGUGUUCCAAAAGGGACUCGCCCCUGGUGUGGAAGGAGUUGCUACUGGCUGCCAUUGGGGAGCAGUUUACAGAGGAUGUGGCGCAAGGGGACGAGGUGUGCGGGGUGUCCGUGUGCGUGCGAGACAAAGACGACAUCCUGCAGAUCUGGAACGUGGACUCGCGGCUCAGUGAGGGAUCCACAGUGCUGUCCAAGGCUCACCGUCUCCUGCCAAACGUCUCUUUCCUCGCCGAAUUUUAUAAGCCUCAUCAGUCUCGCCUGGCGUUCGAGGGAGGCCACAGGAAGUCACGCUAGUCAGCAUACGUUGGUGACAACUGUUUGGGUGGUCGAUUUAACCACAGCCAAGAAGGUGACAAACCAUGUGGCAGGGCACAGGAGGGCCUUGUUCCUCCGCAGUGCCUCCCAGACCUCUGGCAAACCUUCCACAUGAUCUGCU
rnacentral:misc_RNA from 1 species